GUUUAGAGCUGGCCAGUUAGAAACAUUGCUGAUUAAAACUAUUUUGAAUUUCAAUUUUAAAACUCUUUGGUAACCUAAUGUAGUAUAUUGCAUUCAUUUGUCAUUUGUUUUUGUGAAUGGGCGGCAAAUCAAAAAGUCUUGUUACACGUGAAAAUGAACCUAACGCGAGAACAUUUUCGGUCAAUGAUUUAUUAUGACUUUCAUUGUGGGCUUACUCAACAACAAAGCUUUGAUAGGUUGCGAUUAGCCCCAUCUCGUGCCACUCACUAUUUACAAUUGGUUUGACGAGUUUAAGCGUGGACGUAGCAAUCUCAAUGAUGAUCCGCGUGAGGGACGUCCUUUAACAGCUACCACUGAAGAUAACAUCAGUGCUGUGCGACGCAUGAUAGAGGAAAGUGAUGAAAGCUGGAUAUAUUGCUACGAACCCAAAACCAAAAGACAAUCAGCUCAUAUUGCAGUGUCAACAAACGUGUGUAUGGGUAUGGCUUGGCGACUACACCAUGCUCGCAAGUAUUUGUAAUACACGUGUUAAGAAGAUACUGUGGUUCGGAAAUGCAGAAGGGCUUGAUGAAGAGCUGUCUUGUCGUAAAUACUGAUAUGCCGGUCUAGCGUCAACAUAUUAAAAUGAGUUAAUUUUAUCUGUACCAUGGCGACCAGAAGGCCGAACAAGAUGGACCGAUGAUCUGGUCAACAUUGCCGGAAUACGUUGGAUGAGGGCAGUGUAGAACCGAUCGUCGUGGAAAUAUUUGAGAGAGGCCUUUGUCGAGCAGUGGACGUCUUCGGGCUGAUAAUGAUUCAGAUUUGAUUCUGUUCAACUUUUUUUUUCAAACUAGAAAUAAAAUC